rnacentral:rRNA from 1 species
CGCGUAGGCGGCUUGGCAAGUCAGAUGUGAAAGCCCCGGGCUUAACCCGGGAAUUGCAUCUGAAACUGCUUUGCUUGAGUCCUGGAGGGGGUAGUGGAAUUCCCAGUGUAGCGGUGAAAUGCGUAGAUAUUGGGAGGAACACCUGCGGCGAAGGCGGCUACCUGGACAGUGACUGACGCUGAGGCGCGAAAGCUAGGGGGAGCGAACGG